rnacentral:tRNA from 1 species
GGACGAGUAGCUCAGCUGGUUAGAGCGUCACAUUGACAUUGUGAAGGCCACAGGUUCGAAUCCUGUCCCGUCCACCC